GUUUAACUUUAAUUUGGGAGUUGUCAUGGACUUUGCAUACAUUACCAUGACAAAAAGCCUCGUCGUCCUAUGUUUUAAUGGAAUUGCAAUAGUGGAAAUCAAUUAAUCUUCCACAAAGAUCCAGCUUCGAGCGAAGGUGACAGCGGUGGUUUUUGACGUUUACUCGGUACAGUACACUGUAUGAUGACAAUCUUGGUUGUCUUCGUGGAUCGUUUUGUAUCAGUCAACAUCUACAUUUUUGCAGCUAUCGCGCAUUGGAAUUUUAGUGGAUACCAUCAUCUUC